rnacentral:lncRNA from 1 species
GCAGAAUUUGAGCUUUAUCUUAUAUGUGACUCAAGAAUGUAGGUCUUUUACUUCUUAUUCAAGAUGAAAUCCUGUUACAUGGCUGCCUUUUGAAGGAUUUAAUUGCUCCAAGGAUUCAUGCUUACACAGUAUUCUUCACCUCUUAAAAAUCACCGUAAGUCCUACUUUAGUAAUGCUAUUCUUUGAUGAGAAUAUUUCACGUCCUGUGUAAAGUGGGUUAGGACUUUCCUCAUUCCCUUGUCAUCACAUAUGAAUUCUAGCCAAUAUAAAUGUCCUGUCUUAUUGGCAGGGACCAAAGAGAAAUCAGACAUACUGAGAGGAUUGCAAAUGAAGGACUUUUACAGCUACAUGUUACCUCUGCAGUUUGACGCAAGAACUGAAGGCUAUUGA